GUGCCAGCAGCCGCGGUAAUACGGAGGAUGCAAGCGUUAUCCGGAAUGAUUGGGCGUAAAGCGUCCGCAGGUGGCGAUGUAAGUCUGCUGUUAAAGAGUGAGGCUCAACCUCAUAAGAGCAGUGGAAACUACAUAGCUAGAGUACGUUCGGGGCAGAGGGAAUUCCUGGUGUAGCGGUGAAAUGCGUAGAGAUCAGGAAGAACACCAGUGGCGAAGGCGCUCUGCUAGGCCGUAACUGACACUGAGGGACGAAAGCUAGGGGAGCGAAUGGGAUUAGAUACCCCAGUAGUCCUAGCCGUAAACGAUGGAUACUAGGCGUGGCUUGUAUCGACCCGAGCCGUGCCGUAGCUAACGCGUUAAGUAUCCUGCCUGGGGAGUACGCCGGCAACGGUGAAACUCAAAGGAAUUGACGGGGGCCCGCACAAGCGGUGGAGUAUGUGGUUUAAUUCGAUGCAACGCGAAGAACCUUACCAAGGCUUGACAUGUCGCGAAUCUUCUUGAAAGGGAAGAGUGCCUUCGGGAGCGCGAACACAGGUGGUGCAUGGCUGUCGUCAGCUCGUGUCGUGAGAUGUUGGGUUAAGUCCCGCAACGAGCGCAACCCUCGUUUUUAGUUGCCAGCAUUAAGUUGGGCACUCUAGAGAGACUGCCGGUGACAAACCGGAGGAAGGUGGGGAUGACGUCAAGUCAGCAUGCCCCUUACGCCUUGGGCUACACACGUACUACAAUGCUCCGGACAGAGGGCAGCAAGCAUGCGAAUGCAAGCAAAUCCCGUAAACCGGAGCUCAGUUCAGAUCGCAGGCUGCAACUCGCCUGCGUGAAGGAGGAAUCGCUAGUAAUUGCAGGUCAGCAUACUGCAGUGAAUUCGUUCCCGGGCCUUGUACACACCGCCCGUCACACCAAGGAAGCUGGUAGUGCCUGAAGUCAUUACUCCAACCUUUCGGGGGGGAGGAUGCCUAAGGCAGGACUGGUGACUGGGGUGAAGUCGUAACAAGGUAACC
rnacentral:rRNA from 1 species